rnacentral:rRNA from 1 species
CCUACGGGUGGCAGCAGUGGGGAAUAUUGGACAAUGGGCGCAAGCCUGACCCAGCGACGCCGCGUGAAGGAAGAAGUCUUUCGGGUUGUAAACUUCUUUUGUCAGGGACGAAGGAAGUGACGGUACCUGACGAAUAAGCCACGGCUAACUACGUGCCAGCAGCCGCGGUAAUACGUAGGUGGCAAGCGUUAUCCGGAUUUACUGGGUGUAAAGGGCGUGUAGGCGGGACUGCAAGUCAGAUGUGAAAAGCAGGGGCUCAACCUGCGGACUGCAUUUGAAACUGUAGUUCUUGAGUACAGGAGAGGCAGACGGAAUUCCUAGUGUAGCGGUGAAAUGCGUAGAUAUUAGGAGGAACACCAGUGGCGAAGGCGGUCUGCUGGACAGCAACUGACGCUGAGGCGCGAAAGCGUGGGGAGCAAACAGGAUUAGAUACCCGAGUAGUC